rnacentral:rRNA from 1 species
AUUGAACGCUGGCGGCAGGCUUAACACAUGCAAGUCGAACGCGUGGCGGACGGGUGAGUAAUACUUGGGGAUCUAGCUUAUGGAGGGGGAUAACUACGGGAAACUGUAGCUAAUACCGCGUACCAUAGGAUGAGCACAAGUGGGAUUAGGUCGUUGGUGAGGUAAAGGCUCACCAAGCAGACGAUCUCUAGCUGGUCUGAGGGGAUGCUCAGCCACACGGGGACUGAGACACGGCCCAGACUCCUACGGGAGGCAGCAGGGGGUAAGAUUGCACAAUGGGCGCAAGCCUGAUGCAGCCAUGCCGCGUGUAUGAAGAAGGCCGUAGGGUUGUAAAGUACUUUCAGUCGGGAGGCGUUACCGACAGAAGAAGCACCGGCUAACUCCGUGCCAGCAGCCGCGGUAAUUC